AAAAAAUUCUAAGACAGCACUUUUUCUUUUUUUUAUGAAAUUCUAAAUAGUUUUAAAAUAAAUUCAAAUUAAAUGGAUUGAAAAGUCACGAUAAAUGUAAAGCAUUUGAACACCAUUUUUGUUAUGCGGCAAACUUCUCUAUAAAAAAAGUAAACAGAAGGAGUGGCUGUCUUUUCUUCUGCCGUGCAAAACUUAAGUGACAUUUUAAACUUGUGUUUACGUUACAUUAUUUUAUUAUAAUUAUUACAAUUAUUCCCGUGCACCCUGCCACGCGGAGCAGUACAUUACGGAGGCAGUUCAAACAGACAAAAAUAAAAAUCAAUAUGUUUUGUCUUGUCCAGUGGGUUUCUAAAAAAUCUAUAAGUGUUGUUGGAAAGGAGCAAAUUGUAAAAAAGAAUCAAAAUUUGGCGACUGUGGUUUGGUACGGGAAAACGUAUAAAGCAAAAAUAAUUGCUUCUAACGAAAACAUGGAGACUUUCUUCGCUUCGAAUAUCAAUAAAAUCGUAAAACCGAGAAUUGACUUAUAAAUUAAUAAAAUAAAAUGAAAAAAAUUGUAGACGUAACAGAAGGAAAACGAAUCUUGUCAGAAAAAAUCGAAAUGUGUAAAAGAAGACAAUUAUUGAAGAAGGAGAGAAAGAAGAAGUUAAUAAUAAGAUUAUAUAGUUUUUAAAUUUUAUUUUUGAAAUAAAUUGAAUAUAUUUUGGAAAAUUUAAUGAAUAAAAAAUAAUAAAAUAAAGAUGAAUACAUAAAAAAAUACAAAUAAGAUUUUUAACAGUUAAGAACAACAUUUAACUCUCGCUGAUUGAAUGGCUUAAAGCCUCGUGGGUUUUAUGUGUAAAAAGUGAUACUUUAUUUGCCUAAAACAGGUGUAAAAAUGAAAAACUUUUUUCUUGUCCAAAGAGUAAAACAAUAUAUAUAUAGAGGAUGACGCUGACUCUGACGUUAACGAUGAGAUUGUCGCUGUUGCUGAACGAUUUUGAAAUUUUUGCAUCAGAAUUUAUUCUCCAAUUUUUUUCUUCUUUACCAGAAGGUAUUAAGUCACUGUUGCUGCUCUGCAAUUUUAUUACGACAGAUUUCAUUUUGUUUUCCUUAAUUUUCUUAUAGAAUUUUAACUUUUUUCUAUUUUAUUUUG